AGAGUUUGAUCCUGGCUCAGAUUGAACGCUGGCGGCAGGCCUAACACAUGCAAGUCGAGCGGAUGAAAGGAGCUUGCUCCUGGAUUCAGCGGCGGACGGGUGAGUAAUGCCUAGGAAUCUGCCUGGUAGUGGGGGACAACGUUUCGAAAGGAACGCUAAUACCGCAUACGUCCUACGGGAGAAAGCAGGGGACCUUCGGGCCUUGCGCUAUCAGAUGAGCCUAGGUCGGAUUAGCUAGUUGGUGAGGUAAUGGCUCACCAAGGCGACGAUCCGUAACUGGUCUGAGAGGAUGAUCAGUCACACUGGAACUGAGACACGGUCCAGACUCCUACGGGAGGCAGCAGUGGGGAAUAUUGGACAAUGGGCGAAAGCCUGAUCCAGCCAUGCCGCGUGUGUGAAGAAGGUCUUCGGAUUGUAAGGCACUUUAAGUUGGGAGGAAGGGUUGUAGAUUAAUACUCUGCAAUUUGACGUACCGACAG
rnacentral:rRNA from 1 species